UUUCCGUAGGUGAACCUGCGGAAGGAUCAUUAAAGUUAUAGUCCCCCGGCCCUCUGGGCUGGGGUCUUCUAUACCACCCUUUGUUUAUUACACCUUUGUUGCUUUGGCAGGCCUGCCCUCGGGCUGCUGGCUCCGGCCGGCUCGCGUCUGCCAGAGGACCUAAACUCUGUUUGAAUAUGAAGUCUGAGUACUAUAUAAUAGUUAAAACUCUCAACAACGGAUCUCUUGGUUCUG
rnacentral:misc_RNA from 1 species